CCUACGGGAGGCAGCAGUAGGGAAUCUUUCACAAUGGGCGAAAGCCUGAUGGAGCAACGCCGCGUGCAGGAUGAAGGCCUUCGGGUUGUAAACUGCUUUUAUAAGCGAGAAAUAUGAUGGUAACUUAUGAAUAAGUAUCGGCUAACUACGUGUCAGCAGCCGCGGUCAUACGUAGGAUCCGAGCAUUAUCAGGAGUGACUGGGUGUAAAGAGUUGCGUAGGUGGCAUAAUAAGUAGCUAGUGAAAUCUGGUGGCUCAACCAUUCAGACUAUUAGCUAAACUGUUAAGCUCGAGACCGUUAGGGGUAACUGGAAUGUCUAGUGUAGGAGUGAAAUGCGUAGAUAUUAGAAGGAACACCAAUAGCGUAGGCAGGUUACUGGGACGGUUCUGACACUAAGGCACGAAAGCGUAGGGAGCAAACGGGAUUAGAUACCCUGGUAGUC
rnacentral:rRNA from 1 species